rnacentral:rRNA from 1 species
UACGUAGGGUGCAAGCGUUAAUCGGAAUUACUGGGCGUAAAGCGUGCGCAGGCGGUUGUGCAAGACAGAUGUGAAAGCCCCGGGCUUAACCUGGGAACUGCGUUUGAAACUGGGAGACUUGAGUGUGGCAGAGGGGGGUGGAAUUCCACGUGUAGCAGUGAAAUGCGUAGAUAUGUGGAGGAACACCGAUGGCGAAGGCAGCCCCCUGGGUCAACACUGACGCUCAUGCACGAAAGCGUGGGGAGCAAACAGG